rfam:Alligator mississippiensis ScZkoYb_4, whole genome shotgun sequence.
GUGCUUGCUUUGGCAGCACACAUACUAAAAUGGGAACAAUACAGAGAAGAUUAGCAUGGUCCCUGCUCAAGGUUGACAUGCAAAUUUGUAAAGUGUUCCACAUUUUG